CUGAGAGGGUGACACUCCCGUCCGCCUGGCAGAGUGAGUCAUUUGUCAACGAGUCGAGUUGUUUGGGAUUGCAGCUCUAAUUUGGUGGUAAAUUCCAUCUAAAGCUAAAUAUUGGUGGGAGACCGAUAGCGUACAAGUACCGUGAGGGAAAGAUGCAAAGAACUUUGAAAAGAGAGUUAAAGAGUACCUGAAACUGCUGAAACGGAAGCGAAGGAAACCAGUGUUUGUUUGUUCAUAUUUCCCUAGCCACUUGUGGCUUGGGCGCUGUGGGCUUGCGUGAGUUUGGGUUGGUUGAUUCCUUUGGAAGAGCGCAGUCAGAGUUGAUGUCUGUUGCUAGCACUGGAUUUGACUGAUGCAGACGAAAUGGUUUUCUUUACCCCGUCUUGAAACACGGACCAAGGAGUCUAACAUAUGUGCGAGUACAGGGGUGUCAAACCCCCGUGCGCAAUGAAAGUGACAGUGGUUGGAAUUUUUGCACAAUCCGCCGGCCUCAAUCCUUCGGGAGAACGGUCUGAGUGUGAGCAUACAUGUUGGGACCCGAAAGAUGGUGAACUAUGCCUGAAUAGGGUGAAGCCAGGGGAAACUCUGGUGGAGGCUCGUAGCGAUUCUGACGUGCAAAUCGAUCGUCAAAUUUGGGUAUAGGGG
rnacentral:rRNA from 1 species